rnacentral:misc_RNA from 1 species
GGAGCCCUUUGCUCAGGC